CUUAAUCAGAAUAACACAGGGAUAUUUUUGUGUGUUUUUGUGAACACCAGGGACAAUGACCAUAGCAGGCAGUCCAGCGAACAAUCAUCCAUGUCCUCAACGAGUAGAUAUAUUUGAAUGUUGUCAAUAAUCCAGAGCCAAUAGGAAACAAAACAAGAAAAUGUGUUUAUUCAAAUUUAAGGUUCAAUGUGAGUUGGACAUUAAACUUUCAAUAUUUCAAUCCAGUGAACUGAUUAUCGCUCUUCAGUUGUAAGAUAUAAAAUAUUUUAAAAUGUGUCAUAAAUUUAAUACGUUUCUCUCUAUCUGUGUGUGUGUGUGUGUGUGUGUGUGUGUGUGUGUGUGAUCUCCAGCUAUAGUCCCUCUGCUAAAGGGCCACAAGAUGCACUUCCCCCUGGGAGAUAAAGGUCAUGGAGGAUUGAGGGAGCACGCUGCACCGCAGGCUGCGGUUGCGUCACCACCAGUAUUGAGUCAGUUGGACCUGGUUGUUUGGAUGACGGAGGAAGCCCAUGCGAGAGGGGUGGAGCACAUGCAAACUCCACGUCCAAGUGGACGCGUCGACAGGUUCAAAACCCGCUUUUUCUUCUUGCUGUGAGGCGACAAUGCUGUAUUUCUACAUAACUACGUAUUCAUAUUUACAAAGUAGUAGUAUUAAUGAAGACAUGAAGUGGGAUCACUUUGUCAGUGCUUUGACUGCUCUGAUGUAUCUCUUGUAGGUCGACCCAGUUGACCUUUGAUCAUGCUCAUCUCUGUUUGUCUCUUUCUGGGACGUUGUUCUGCUUUCUCAUCUUGCACAGCAGCUGGCAGAGACUGGUACAAGGCUGCCCAGGUGUAGUGGCAAUGGUGGGCCACAUCUGAGUGGGGUAAAAGACAGGAAGAGAAGGUAGGAUGCAUGCACUCCUGUAUUCAAAUACACAUGAGAAGAAAGCACAAUAGGUCAGGUGGGACUAAUCUUACUGCAGGUAUUCGCCGUCAAGCCUCAUGCAUUCCUUCUUCCAAAACCUCUUAAUGCACUCACCGGCCGAUUCCAUGGGAGUGGAUCAGACACUGUCAAUCACUGACCUAAAACAAACCUACAGAACACACGGGGUCAAGU
rnacentral:lncRNA from 1 species